GCCCGUGUGGCGCAAUCGGCAGCGCACCCGACUUUUAUUUACGUAAUGCGAUCACAGAUUGCAUCGGGCGGUUGCGGGUUCGAACCCCGCCAUGGGCU